rnacentral:rRNA from 1 species
GGUCUCCCUUCGGGGCCGGUGUGAAAGUGCGGUGGGUUGUCUUCACCUCUUGCCGGGAGGUGUUGGGUUAAGUCCCCCACCAAGCGCAACCCCUGCCUCCAUUUACCUUCCAUUCAAGUCGGGGACUCUGGCCGGACUGCCCACGCAAGUGGAAAGAAAGGGGGGGACGACACCAAGUCAUCUUGGCCCUUACUUCCGGGGCUGCACACGUGCUACAAUGGGCGCCCCACAGGGAUGCCACCCCCCAGGGGGGAGCGAAUCCCUAAAGGCGUUCUCAGUUCGGAUCGGGGUCUGCAACUCCACCCCGUGAAGUUGGAAUCGCUAGUAAUCGCGCAUCAGCUACGGCGCGGUGAAUACGUUCCCGGGUCUUGUACACACCG